GAUGAACGCUGGCGGCGUGCCUAAUACAUGCAAGUCGAACGGAAGGUAGCAAUACCUUUAGUGGCGAACGGGUGAGUAACGCGUUGGUGACCUGCCCCGAAGCGUGGGAUAACAGUCCGAAAGGAUUGCUAAUACCGCAUGUGGUCCAAGAGACUAGAGGCUUAUGGACUAAAGGAGACAUUCACUUCGGGAGGGGCCUGCGUCCCAUCAGCUAGUUGGUAGGGUAACGGCCUACCAAGGCGAUGACGGGUAGGGGACCUGAGAGGGUGGCCCCCCACAAUGGAACUGAAACACGGUCCAUACACCUACGGGUGGCAGCAGUAGGGAAUAUUGCAAAAUGGGCGCAAGCCCGAUGCAGCAACGCCGCGUGGGCGAUGAAGGCCUUCGGGUCGUAAAGCCCUUUUGAGGGGAUGAGGAAGGACAGUACCCUCAGAAUAAGCCUCGGCUAACUACGUG
rnacentral:rRNA from 1 species